rnacentral:rRNA from 1 species
AGUGAACGCUGGCGGUAGGCCUAACACAUGCAAGUCGAACGAGUGGCGGACGGGUGAGGAAUACAUCGGAAUCUGCUCUGUCGUCGGGGAUAACGUUGGGAAACUUACGCUACUACCGCAUACGAUUGACUGCGCCGAUGUCGGAUUAGCUAGUGGGUGAGGUAAAGGCCCACCAAGGCGACGAUCCGUAGCUGGGCUGAGAGGAUGAUCAGCCAAACUGGAACGGAGACACGGCCCAAACUCCGACGGGAGGCAGCAGUGGGGAAUAUUGGACAAUGGGCGAAAGCCUGAUCCAGCCAUGCCGCGUGGGUGAAGAAGGCCUUCGGGUUGUAAAGCCCUGUUGUUGGGAAAGCGGUAACCAAAGAAUAAGCACCGGCUAACUUCGUGCCAGCAGCCGCGGUAAUAC